CCCGCACAAGCGGAGGAACAUGUGGUUAAUUCGAUGAUACGCGAGGAACCUUACCUGGGCUUAAAUGUAGAGUGCAUUUCUAGAGAUAGGAAUUCCCUUCGGGGCUUUCUACAAGGUGCUGCAUGGUUGUCGUCAGCUCGUGCCGUGAGGUGUCGGGUUAAGUCCCAUAACGAGCGCAACCCUUAUCGUUAGUUGCCAUCUGGUAAAGCAGGGGACUCUAGCGAAACUGCCACCGUAAGGUGAGAGGAAGGUGGGAUGACGUCAAAUCAGCACGGCCCUUAUGUCCAGGGCUACACACGUGUUACAAUGGUCGGUACAGAGGGCAGCUACCUGGUGACAGGAUGCUAAUCUCGAAAACCGGCCUCAGUUCGGAUCGAAGUCUGCAACUCGACUUCGUGAAGCUGGAUUCGCUAGUAAUCGCGCAUCAGCCAUGGCGCGGUGAAUACGUUCCCGGGCCUU
rnacentral:rRNA from 1 species